ACUCAGUUGGUAAAGCACAAGGCUCUUAACCUUGUGGACGUGGAUUCAAGUCCCAC
rnacentral:tRNA from 1 species